GUAUAAAGGUAAAGAAAAUAUGAGACAUGAAGGAUAUACCCACAUGGAUUGCUUAUCUCCUCAUUAGAGAUUAAAGUUUUUCAUGGUCAUAAGAUUCAAAGUUGCUAAUGAAACAACAAAAGAGGUCAAAAUGAUGAUUGAAAAGCUUACGAACUCUGUGACAUGAAAACAUCAGGAAAGAUCAUAUUUGAGUGUUAUUCCUCUGGAAAGGGGUGAAAAAAAGCAAAUAUACAAUGAUCAUAAGAAUGUAUUCCAGACAUUGACAAAAUGAUGUCAAGGCACAAGAAAGUCAGAAUACAAAAUUAAGUGAAGUAUAACUGGCCACCUAAUUUGAAAGAAGGGCCUGUGUUAUGGUACCAUGGUUUAAACUGCUGCCUGUGAUGGUGGCAUCCAUAUGAUCUCCAGUUCAAUAGUCUGUCUUUUGUACAAAAGUGCAUCCAAUUCUAAGGGCAGAGGUUAAUAUUUGUCAUGAUGACUCUCAGCUGCACCAUGGGGUUAUGUCCUUAGUGGGAUGAAUCUCAAGUGGGGAGGGACAUGCACACAUCAUAAUAGGUAUUCUGUGAUGCAAUAACCUGGGGGAUGGUGUAGGAGAUAAAUGUGGGCGUGGGCCUGGGCAUAUGUCCAGUUACUCAUUUUGAUUCACUUUGGUCAGAUGUGUAACUAGAAGCAUUUUUGUCCAAAAUGACGAAAAAAUUACCUCCACUUUUUCCACGUCAACCUCAGCCUCACCCUCCGACUCCUUCAGAUUCCCGCUUUCCAACCUGCCUGCCUCACCUGGCUCCUCCCUCUGACAAACCUAAGCCUGUCCUCCAGCACAAGAAAUCUUCAGCUGCCUGCCCUGCCCGUCUCCCUGCUCUGACCAACAGCUCUUCCCACAAGGACAUUCCUUCCUCCAAGACUUCCAAGCGCACCCUGGCCUCUGUUCCCUCCAAGUCACCCACUCACCGCCCUGUUCGUCUGGCUCCCCUUUCCUGCUUCUCCUCUGUCUGGGCCCCGACUCCUCCUCCCAGCCCCUCUUACUAGUCCUCUGGACUCUGUUCUCCACGGACACCUACCCCAGCCCAGACCUGGGGAUUCACAGAUCUUACUUUGAGAUCUUACCUUCUCUAAGAGCCUUGGCAGUUCUGGCACAGUUCAGAAGAGAGGACAGUGGCUUCCCAGCAGCCUAGCCUGACUCUGCACUUUCUCUCUUGCCUGAUGAAUCAGCCUUCAGGAACCCCCAGGCCUACAAGUGGCUACUCAGGGAAAGCAAAUCACAGAGCUGAGAGCAGGACUAAUGACAGAGAAGGUUUGCCACAUGAGGUGGAGUCUUUCCUGUCUAUGAGUCAAGCAACUCCAGUACCAGGGUAGGUCCUGAGAAGCUGGGCACACGGCCAAGAGCCUGAAGACAGAGAGCCAGGAAGGCAAUGGUGUGCCAUGGGGAUGCGAUUGUGGGGUGACAGCAUGGAGUGCUGGUACCAGGAGGGUGCACUGACAUGCCACUACCCAGAAAUGGCAGAAGGAUGCCAGUGCCAAAGUGCAGAAGGCCUGGGUCCCAAUCACCUCAUUAGGAUUUUCAGAGAAAUAUCUCAACGUUGGAGAAACUCUACAGCUACAUUGGCUGAGUUUCUCCACAAGAUUAAGUGGUGCUCCAGAAGGCAUUAGGGAACAAGGAAUACUCAUAACUGCAGUUUUCCCAAAGAGAAAAUGCCUCUUGUUGCCCAGCCAAAGUGGAUACUUCAGGAACCCCUGAGGCCACAUCAAAGCACAUAUAUUUAUUACAUGCAUGGAAAUGUAGCCAUGACGCCUAAAGUGGGCAUUAUAAAAGUUGAAUUUUUUACAAUUCUGUUUUCCAAAUGUUUAUAUUUUGCAGAAUUGUGUUUACUGGAUUGUUUUUUCCUCAUACCUUUACCUUUGCCUGAGUGAUGGGGAGAGUUUGGUUGGUGGAUUCUAGUCCCAUAGUACUUCUAAUCCGCUACAUUUGUGCACUCAACAUUCAUGAAACAUCAGCAUCCGCUAAAUGUGAGCCUCAUAUGGAACGCCAAAUCCACAGCCACCACUCUGGGUCACAUUGGAGUCCACUCACCUGCUACAACCAGGCUCCUUCUGCACCACCUUUCACACCCGUUGCUGCAACAGAAAAUCUGUACUAACAGAACUAGUCAUUCACUCUGCUGGGAGAAGCCCUUCACUAAUUGCCAGUGCUUCCCUCCCUCAUUUUACACACCCAAGAAGUCAAUACUUUCAAGUUUCCUCACUGCAAAAGACUCCAUCACAAGUGUGGAGGCAUCUCCACCCCUAGUCACUUAAUUCUUUCUUCUCAGUGCCUAGAUCUGCUUCUCAAUCAGAUCUUACCAGUGCCUGCAUAGAUUCAAUGGGCUCUCAUACCCUUACAACUUCCUUGUCCCCACCCCUCAUGUGCAGCACUGCUAGAUAUAGAGCUAUGUUAAAAGGCCACACUGAUCAUGUCAGUGUGUCAAACACUUGAGUGGCCCCAAAG